UACGUAGGCAGCAAGCGUUGUUCGGAAUUACUGGGCGUAAAGAGUGUGUAGGCGGUGCUCUAAGUCUGUUGUGAAAUCUCCCGGCUUAACUGGGAGGGUGCGGCGGAAACUGGAGUGCUAGAGGGUGGGAGAGGAAAGCGGAAUUCCUGGUGUAGCGGUGAAAUGCGUAGAUAUCGGGAGGAACACCUGUGGCGAAAGCGGCUCACUGGACCACAACUGACGCUGAGGCGCGAAAGCUAGGGGAGCAAACAGG
rnacentral:rRNA from 1 species